rnacentral:rRNA from 1 species
UAUGGGGGGUGCGAGCGUUGUCCGGAAUCACUGGGCGUAAAGGGCGCGUAGGUGGUUUGAUAAGGGUGUGGUGAAAGCCCGGGGCUCAACCCCGGGUCUGCCGUGCCGACUGUCAAACUCGAGGGCUGUAGAGGCAGACGGAAUUCCGGGUGUAGCGGUGGAAUGCGUAGAGAUCCGGAGGAAGACCGGUGGCGAAGGCGGUCUGCUGGGCAGUUUCUGACACUGAGGCGCGACAGCGUGGGGAGCAAACAGG